GCAGGGGUCCGUGUCACAAGUGUGUGAUCCUGAUCAGGCUGCCGAGGCUGUGGAUGUGGAACCUGGAACUGGAGAGGUGCCGGAUAAGUUGUUCGGGUACUUUUUCUGCAGAGAGAAGCCGACGAUGAUGGGGGAAAUCACCUGAGAAGUGAGCCUUGUGAUGGAGAAUCAAAAAAAUAAAAAAGCAAGUUUGAAUGAUAAAGGAAGUGGAAGUAGCAGUAGCCGACCCUUUCAAGACAUAUGGACCGAGAUGUAUGGGAUUGUCAACAGAAACAACAGAUCAUUGUGCAUACUGUGUAAUGAAAUGGUAGUAAGCAGAACGUGGAAUGUAAAGAGACAUUUUGAAACUAAUCAUUGUCAGCUCUUGAAAAAAAGUAUCGAUGAAAGGAAGGAAUACAUUUCUAGGCAGCUACACCUCUAUAAAAGUCAAUCAAAUUCCAUCAUUAAAUUCGUAAGAUGCUCUACAAAUUUAACAUCAGCAAGUUACUGUAUUGCUCACUUCAUAGCUCAGCAUGGAAAAGCCCUCAGUGAUGGAGAAUUUAUUAAGGAAACAUUUCUAAGAUGUGCACCAGCUCUAUUUCACGAUAUGAAAAAUAAAGAUGAUAUUAUUAAAAGAAUUUCUGAGUUACCACUCAGUAGAAAUACUAUCAAAGACAGAAUAAUAGAUCUUAACAAAAACGUACAACAUCAAUUAAAAAAAGACAAAUAGUUGUAAAUAUUUUUCGAUUUCUCUUGAUGAAACAACUGAUGUCACAUCAAAUGCUCGGUUGGCCAUUAGUGCUAGAUAUUCUGAUGGCCUCACAAUGAGAGAAGAGUUGAUAAAGUUAGAAUCAGUGCCAAUAAGUACAUCAGGAAACGAAAUAUGUAAGGUUGUUAUAAAAACAUUCAGUGACCUAAACAGUGAUAUCUCUAAAAUUGUGUCAGUCACAACAGAUGGGGCACCAAAUAUGGUGGGGAAAAAUGUGGGAUUCCUGAAAUUGUUUAUGGAAGCUAUUAGACAUCCACUUGUACCUUUUUUAAAAAAAAAUACAUUUUAUUGAUUUUUUUACGGAGAGGAAGGGAGAGGGAUAGAGAGUUAGAAACAUUGAUGAGAGAGAAACAUCAAUUUAGCUGUCUCCUGCACACUCCCUACUGGGGAUGUGCCCACAACCAAGGUAUAUGCCUUUGACCAGAAUUGAACCUGGGACCCUUCAGUCCGCAGGCCUGUGCUCUAUCCACUGAGCCAAAUUGGUUAGAGCUCCACUUGUACCUUUUCAUUGCAUUUUCCAUCAGGAGGUGUUGUGUGCCAAAUCGGGAUUCUCAGAAUUGAAUGAUUGAAUGUCAGUUGUAACAAAAAUUGUGAAUUGUAUAGCUUCUCGACCCCUUCACAAGCGAGAAUUUUCUGCACUUUUACAGGAAGUUGAUUCAACCUACAGUGGACUAAUGAUGUUCAAUAAUGUGAGAUGGCUGAGUCGAGGUAAAGUACUUGAGCGAUUUGUGGAGUGCUUUGAAGAAAUUACGGUAUUUAUUGAGAAUAAGGAUCUGGCAAACUUUCCUCAGAUCAGUUUUGGCAAAAGUAUUGACGUUAUGUUUGGAUACAUCAAAUCUUUUGAAAGUAAACUUAAAAUUUUGAAGUGAGAUAUUGAAACUAAAACUUAUAAGUAUUUUCUUCGUAUAAAAAAGUAUUUCAAGAAGGCACUACGACAGGUGUAAUGGAGUCCAUACUUAUGUACCAGAAUAUAGUAAACUCGUUAUUUGAACAGUUCAGUGAAAGAUUCGACCAAUUUAGAAGCCUAGAACAGACCAUUCAAAUAAUUACGUAUCCGGAUGUAGUUUUUAACAGUACUUUGGAAUUAAAGGAUUUCCAAUGGAUGCAAAUUGAUGAUUUAGAGAUGCAACUUGCAGAUUUUCAAGGUAGCAUUUGGACACAUGUGUGUGUCGACUUAAGGUUGAAA